GAUGAACGCUGGCGGCGUGCCUAAUACAUGCAAGUCGAGCGAACAGACGAGGAGCUUGCUCCUCUGACGUUAGCGGCGGACGGGUGAGUAACACGUGGAUAACCUACCUAUAAGACUGGGAUAACUUCGGGAAACCGGAGCUAAUACCGGAUAAUAUAUUGAACCGCAUGGGUCAAUAGUGAAAGACGGUUUUGCUGUCACUUAUAGAUGGAUCCGCGCCGCAUUAGCUAGUUGGUAAGGUAACGGCUUACCAAGGCAACGAUGCGUAGCCGACCUGAGAGGGUGAUCGGCCACACUGGCACUGAGACACGGUCCAGACUCCUACGGGAGGCAGCAGUAGGGAAUCUUCCGCAAUGGGCGAAAGCCUGACGGAGCAACGCCGCGUGAGUGAUGAAGGUCUUCGGAUCGUAAAACUCUGUUAUUAGGGAAGAACAAAUGUGUAAGUAACUAUGCACGUCUUGACGGUACCUAAUCAGAAAGCCACGGCUAACUACGUG
rnacentral:rRNA from 1 species